UACGGAGGGUGCAAGCGUUAAUCGGAAUCACUGGGCGUAAAGGGUGCGUAGGCGGUCUCGCAAGUCUGGCGUGAAAGCCCAAGGCUCAGCCUUGGAAGUGCGCUCGAAACGGCGAGGCUGGAGUGCCGGAGGGGAGAGUGGAAUUCCCGGUGUAGCGGUGAAAUGCGUAGAGAUCGGGAGGAAUACCGGUGGCGAAAGCGGUUCUCUGGGCAUUACCUGACGCUGAGGAGCGAAAGUGUGGGGAGCGAACAGG
rnacentral:rRNA from 1 species